UACGAAGGUCCCAAGCGUUGUUCGGAAUCACUGGGCGUAAAGGGCGCGUAGGCGGCCAUUCAAGUCGGAGGUGAAAGCCCAGGGCUCAACCCUGGAAUUGCCUUCGAUACUGUUUGGCUAGAGACCGGAAGAGGUAAGUGGAACUGCGAGUGUAGAGGUGAAAUUCGUAGAUAUUCGCAAGAACACCAGUGGCGAAGGCGGCUUACUGGUCCGGUUCUGACGCUGAGGCGCGAAAGCGUGGGGAGCAAACAGG
rnacentral:rRNA from 1 species